rnacentral:tRNA from 1 species
GGUCCGGUGGCGGAACUGGUAUACGCGCAGCACUUAAAAUGCUGUGGUGGUAACACUAUGAGGGUUCAACUCCCUCCCGGACCA